rnacentral:rRNA from 1 species
UGGGGAAUAUUGGACAAUGGGGGCAACCCUGAUCCAGCAAUGCCGCGUGUGUGAAGAAGGCCUGCGGGUUGUAAAGCACUUUUGGCAGGGAUGAAAAGCACUGGAUUAAUAACCCAGUGUGUUGACCUAACCUGCAGAAGAAGCACCGGCUAACUACGUGCCAGCAGCCGCGGUAAUACGUAGGGUGCGAGCGUUAAUCGGAAUUACUGGGCGUAAAGGGUGCGCAGGCGGUUAUGUAAGUCAGAUGUGAAAUCCCCGGGCUUAACCUGGGAAUUGCGUUUGAAACUACAUGACUAGAGUGUAACAGAGGGAAGUGGAAUUCCAUGUGUAGCAGUGAAAUGCGUAGAGAUAUGGAGGAACAUCGAUGGCGAAGGCAGCUUCCUGGGUUAACACUGACGCUCAUGCACGAAAGCGUGGGGAGCAAACAGGAUUAGAUACCCUAGUAGUCCCUGAGCGGGCUGGCAAGGCGCAU